AUUGUGUUAGGUUCUGGGUGGAGGUUGGGGUUGGUUUUCUCCUCUAGGUGGAGUCCUGGAGACGGCUGCUCGGGGGACGGACCUGUUGCGUCAGCUACACACCGGUCAGCAAUUACGCUCUUACCUGCAGCUUAAGAGAGGCGGUGGCCAACACUUCGACGCCAGAUUGUUGACUAAGUUUUGACCACCCGAGCAUCCGGAUCAGGACGUUUCGCUCAGACGCUCUGAGGCCCUGGCCGACCUGUCCGUUUCCCCUCCCCCCCGAAAACCAAGGAAAGUGAAACCCAGAAUCGCAGACCCCUCCAAGCCUUCUCUAUACCACCCACACCCUGUGCUGUUGGUGCUGCUGCCCGCCGCUCGCACCAGUUGAUUUUCCUUCCCGCAACAAUAAACCCAUUGAACUUUC